GCGUAAGCCACUGCACCCAGCCAGUAAUAUCAGCCUUUUAAAUUUUAACUAUUUGAAUGGGUCCUGGACUUUAGUUUCUCUUAUGGUAAAGUGAGAACAGUGUCUCCCAUUAGCCAAAAUAAGCAGAGGUCAGUGAAAUAAAAAUGUAACACCAAGACAUGCUGCACUUCUCAGGUGAAAACUUUUAUGAAUUGAGACGUUGCUGAAGCUAAUUCAGCUAUGGAGAAAGGAGUCAUCAAGAGGCUUGGAAUGAGGCAAAGUUGGCUGACAGUUGCAUUGUCAGGAAAAGAAAACUGGCUUUAAAAUCAAGAUACAUGGAUCCUAGGCCAUUCUGUUACUACCUUGUGACUAUGAGCAAGUUAUUGACAUUUCUUAGAAUUAGUUUUGUCAUCUAUGAAGUGGUGAUAAUAUUGUCUGUGUAAUAAGAAUAUUGUAAGGUUUAAAUAAAAUGAUACAUAGUUUUGGGGGCUACAAUGGGCAAUAUAUUCAUUGAUAUUAUCACUGAUUUAAAAAAUGACACUUCUAUUACUUUCAUGAGUAAAGCAAAGAGAUUUAUAAAACUUUUAAAAUUAUAUGCAAGCCUGGCUGGAGUACAGUGGCAUGAUCCUGGCUCACUGCAACCUCAGCCUCCCGGGUUCAAGUGAUUCUCUUGCCUCAGCCUCCCAAG